UAUCUUUUUAUACUAUAACUUUAACAAUAUAUAUUUACACUUGGUCUUUCCACCAUUUAAUACUCGUAAAGUUUUAAGAGACACCGUAAACUCGUAACAACGAACGCCUCAAAGUUCUCAUACUCACCAUGCCUGUACAUUGUGAAGAAAAAAACUAGCAAACAUAGAACUAACUCCCAAAUCACACCAAAACAUAGAAAACUGGAAUACCAAUCAUUAUGCAAACGUGAUAAUAUGCAAACGACAUAUACUAAUAUAUGUUCCUUUUAAAUCACAUGUUACUAUUACGACAAUAUAUUAAACACACAUUAAUUGUCCAUAACACAAUACUAAGCUUAGUCCAGUCACACACCAAACUAUUUUUCAACCUAAGUAUUGAAGUUAUUCUUAUAGAUGGUGGGGUUAAAAAGAAGGUUUGUAUCCUAUACACAAUUCAACAUAAUCAUGAUCAUAAUGUAUGUAUAAAAAAGAACAAUCACUACAAAGUAGGAAAAAUGAUUAUGAAUCCAGUAAACAUUAAAAUCCAAGGUUUAUAAUAUUAUUAUUUGUUGUCUUACAAUUAUCUUAGGGUACAAAUUUAUAAAUUCCAGGCUUAUGAAACUAGGGGAAAAAAUAGAAUAAUUGGUUGCUAGGUAUAGUAUAUUGCACAUUUAUUAUGCUCGCACAAUAAUUUUUUCUCCUUUGUGCUUGUACUCAUAGAACCGGUAAAGCUUUGUCACCCGUAUUUACACAUUUCAUCAAUGCACUUAUAACCAAUUGGACAAUCGGCAUCAUUUUUACAUUCAAUAAUUUCUGAAUAAUGUGUCUUACCACCACAUGCUUCCGUUGUGACAAAAAAUAAGAAAAGAAAUAGAAUCAUAACAUAGACAAACUUGAGAAGUUCAACCAUAUUUUUUCCUCUUUCCAUCUAUAAAAUAGCUUAUGAUUUGAUAUCUUUAUAAUAGUAUAUAAAGUUGAUGCUCUCCUAAAAAAAUAAUUAAAUAGUUGCUCUCACUUAGUUGUGAAAACUCUUAGUAAUAUUAUAAUCAUUAUUAUUAUAUAUAUUCAAAGUAUAUCAGUGUGUUUUGUUUUGUUUGUCCCUUUAGAAUACCUAAUAAGGAGGUCAACUAAUAGUAAAGGAAAAUAUUUAACCUUUCAUGAUAGUAAAGGGAAAAUUUUCUUUUAAAUCUUUUAUAAAAAAAACCUAAUUUUUUAUUACUUUUUUAACCUUUCAUGAUAGUAAAGGGAAAAUUUUCUUUUUGGUCAAUGGUAAAUUUAUUUUUUGGAAUAAAUAACGAAUGAGGUGAGAACAUGUUUAUGCACAAGUACAAUGCUUUGUAAGAUCAUUUUUUGUUAAUAAAAUCAUUGAAUAAGAAAGAAUGCAUAUUUAAAUUUUUAAUUUCAUGAUUUAUUCUACAUUAUCAUUCACAUCAAUUAUGUAAUUCACAUUGAUUUGCAAAAUAAAUUGGUACUGAAUAUAAACAGAAAUUGUUUUUCAAAAUGAUUCAUAUAUAUAUAUAUAUCAUAGAACCAUUUUUUGAACUAAAUGUUUAAAUGACUGAGUGGGAUUAAAAUGGAAAUUAAAACGAUAAUAAUGUGUAUACUUGGAUAUAUGAUUGCGUGAAUGGUCUGACGUCUUUACUAAGGAAAAUGCUUGUUGGCACGAGACCACCAAGCACGACAUGCAACAAAUGCAUUGUGACCCUUGGAUUGCAGCACUUUUAUUUCUCUCUCAUCCGUGUGGUUUGUUUCGAUGGCUGUUACAUGUGUCGUGGGUUUGUCGUGCAUGCAUAGUAUCGUGCGUUAUAGCAUUGCUCCUUUACUAAAUUAAGGCAAAAAACUGUAUCGUAAAUAUUGGUUUUGAAUGUAUUUAUUUUCAAUUAUGAAUCUUUUUUUUUUUUUUUGAGAGAAACGUGUUUAUAGCAUUUCAUUAAUCAUAAUAGUUUCAAUACAAUUGUCAUAAUAAACGGCGGUUAUGUGUUUGUGGUUAUGUGUGUUUUGGACUGUCUGUCUGUGUAUGAUAAAUUGUGCUAAGUUAUAGAAAGUCAGUGUUACUAGGAUCGGAGAUCCUAUUGAGAGAACCUUCUCUAUUUAUGUGUUUUUCAGUGAACUCAUUCAAAUAUCUCUUCUCUUUCCAUCCACUACUAGAAGCCAGCUUCCAAUAGUAUAUUUUCGUAUAAAAUAUACUAUCCUAUUAAUCACCUUUAUCCUAGACAAAAAUAUAGCUUUUUUUCUUGCGCCUUCAUCUUUUAUUCCAUUUACUCAAAAAAACAAAACAAUCUUUAUUCCAACAAUAGAAAAUGUAGCUGCUGAGAAUGGAUUGGCAUGUGCAAAUCAACCAUACUUGGCGUGAAGGAAAUAGAAGUGCCGAUUGGCUUGCUAAUUUUAGCAUUUCUGUGAAUUAUUUGAAUUUGAUUAUUUUGGAGACUCCUCCUAUUGAGCUUCGAAAGCUCAUGUUUGAUGAUAUUUCCGGGGCUUGCAUGCCUAAGAAUAUCCGGUUAAUUUCGUAGUUUCUUUUCUUUUGAGCUUUGCCCUCUAUUGUACCCAAAAAAAAAAAUUGUAGCUUCCAUUAUUCAUUAGAAUCAGUUAAAUUAGCUCUUGAUAAGUAGUUUACAAAAUUUAAUCAAAAUUGUAAUGUUUUUUAACGGAAAAAUCAUUUAAAAGUGACUUUAAUUAUCUAUCCUAGAAACUCUUAUCCUUACACUUUCUUUGCUUCUACCACUAUGAUAGAUCGAAAAUGUUCGACCAUGAUGAAUAUGGCAAUAAGAUGGAAGAGAUGUAAUGUGUUUCCUAGAAAACAUGAUCAUAUAAAUGUGCAUACAAAUUUAUUGAGCGAAUUCUAAUUUGUAUGAUGAGCCUAUGCUAUAAUGUAAGUCGGCUCCACAUCGAAGUGAUUCUAUUUAAAGAAGUAUCUCUUAGUUAAAAUUUGAACAUUGACUCAUCAUAUUGUUUGAGUAUAGUCUUUUAUGUUAGACUCAUCCUUUAUUGAUUGAGGUGGGAAGGUUUAUUAAAGCGAAAAUCAUAUUAUAUAUGCCCCACGUUAGCUGUGAAAGAAGGCGAUAAAUAUGACUUAUUUCCAGCUAUUGUGUGGAUUAGAGAGAUUAUAUUAGAAAGUGUUAAGUGGAGGAGUAUUUUUUACUUUUUAGUGGUGGAUAUUUUCAUUUAAGUCGAGUAGUUGAUUUUUCCUUUUUGUCCGUUCAUUACAAACUUGUUGAUUGAGCUAACUAAACAAAUAAUGUAGCGAUCCAUCAAUUAGUAAGGGUGGCUACAUCCACAAUUAGUCCUCAAUUUUAUUUUCUUAUAUUUUUUUGUAUAGUUCAUAUACAAUUAAUAAUAAUGAUAUGAGAUAUGUUUGUUUUCUUAAAAUACGUAAAAUGUGGUAUUUUAUGUAACCACAACCAGUAAUGUUACAUAUGGAUUUUCAUUACCAGCUUGAUCAAUCAAAUGCAUAACAUAACAUGAAUGAAAGGAAUAUCUUCAAAAAGCUUCUUCAAAAGUCAAAACUGAUGCACUAUCGAUAUCAGCUUCCACAAUGAACACUGCAAUAUGGAGCACUCUUUCCUCAUCAAUCAUUUGUUGUCAUUGAUAUGAUUCCACUAAUUGAUUAAAAAAAUUUCACGUGUUUGUUAAUCGCUCUUUCAUGAAACCAAAACACGACAAUGAAAGAAGAGUACUUGGUUGUGGUCUUCAGAUAAAUAUUAAUAUUGUUCAUACCAAUUGGUUUCUUUCCAUGGAAGUAAGUGGCACUACGCAUUUUAGUUUUUAUAAUCCCUGUCCUUGGAUUUUUGUAGGAAUUAAAGUUGAUGACAAGGACAAAAUUUCUAUGCAUUCAAUCAUAUCAUAGUGACACUGAGUGAGAAUGCAAAGAAUGUAGAAACUUAUCUAAAUUUCAAAAGUGUCGCCUUGAACCAUGUCCAAUCUUUCGCAUUGUGGGUUGUAAUCUCGUCAUAUAUUUCUUGCUAAUUUGUAAAUAAACUAGGAACCCGAGGAUUACAGGACUAUCUAGUUAGAAUAUUAUGGGAGAAUGUUAAGAGAAAUAAGAGGAUUGGCGAUGGGUGGUAGGAAAAUUGAAAAUAGAAUUAGCAUUUGCAAAAUUAGAGAGGGUGAUGACUUAAAUUAUUUGAAAUUAUAAAUUACAUUAUUUUCUGGUUAUUACUAUUUUCUGGCUUGUAUUUAUAACCGAGACACUUAACUGGUUUCUCCCCUACUUCAAUCCUGUGAGUAAUAUAACAAUGGCAUUUGGCCAAAAUAACUACUGUAAAUUUGGGGUUUCCUACUUAGCAAAUGUAAAAUUAAGAGAACAAUAAUAUUCAGAUGCUGCUGAUUCAAAAAUGCUCCUGACAUUCUGGGCAAUGAAAUUGCCUAAAACAUCAGACACUUGCCCCAGCAAAGAUUAAACAUCACACCAAGGAAUAAACACGCAGAUAUAGAGUUGAUAUUAAAAACAAACAGCAGGUCCGGAAACUUGCUGCUUGUAAAAUUCAGGUGUUCACACAAGACAAGACAAUUAAAGCAGAAACAAGAAAAAUAACUAGUCAUGCCACCGUCGAUCUAGAACCCAGUUCUGGGAACAAAAGCUGGGAGAUGACGGUGCAGACUUCACACUUAAUCCAAAAAACAACUUAACAAGACACGAAAUAGAAAUACUAAGAACCACAAACCAUUUAUUGUAAUAACGACUAUAAACUUCCCAAGGAAAAUCAUCCUGCACGGUUCAUUUCUUCUUGGCUGCUGACUUAGUUAUCUUAGCUGUGCCAGGUUCCUUCUUCUCCACACCCUUGAUAACCCCAACAGCCACAGUUUGCCGCAUAUCUCUGACAGCAAAACGGCCAAGUGGAGGAUAUUCAGAGAAAGUCUCAACCACCAUGGGCUUGGUGGGAAUCAUCUUAAUAAUACCAGCAUCUCCAUUCUUCAGGAAUUUAGGCUCCUUCUCGAUCUCCUUACCAGAACGCCUGUCAAUCUUAGUAACAAGCUCAGCAAACUUGACUGCAAUGUGGGAGGUGUGGCAGUCAAGAACAGGGGCAUAACCAUUUCCAAUCUGGCCAGGGUGAUUCAUGAUAAUCACCUGAGAUGUGAAGUUAGCAGCCUCCUUGGCUGGGUCAUCCUUGGUGUUUGAGGCAACAUAACCACGCUUGAGAUCCUUGACAGAAACAUUCUUAACAUUAAAUCCCACAUUGUCACCGGGAAGUGCCUCAGUGAGAGAUUCAUGAUGCAUCUCCACAGACUUGACUUCAGUUUGCAGUCCAGUUGGAGCAAAAGUCACCACCAUUCCAGGUUUCAUGGUACCAGUCUCAACACGUCCCACAGGAACAGUUCCAAUUCCUCCAAUCUUGUAGACAUCCUGAAGAGGUAGUCGGAGGGGCUUGUCUGAUGGCCUCUUAGGCUCAUUGAUUUGAUCAAGAGCCUCAAGAAGUGUUGGACCCUUGUACCAGUCAAGAUUUGUAGAGCGCUCAAUCAUGUUAUCUCCCUCAAAACCAGAGAUGGGAACAAAUGGAAUUUUAUCUGGGUUAUAGCCAACCUUCUUCAUGUAGGAUGAUACUUCCUUCACAAUUUCAUCAUACCUGCUCUUGGAGUACUUGGGAGUAGUGGCGUCCAUCUGUUCAAGAUAGCAAAAAAUCAGUACUUGUAUAAGCAAAUUAUAAAAAUAUCCAAAUGCAACUACAAAGGGGAAUCAAAAAAUUUACAGUUCAAAUACCUUGUUGCAGCAGCAGAUCAUUUGCCUCACACCAAGAGUGAAAGCAAGGAGAGCAUGUUCACGAGUCUGACCAUCCUUGGAAAUACCAGCUUCAAAACCACCAGUGGUGGAAUCAAUGAUGAGAACAGCACAAUCAGCUUGGGAUGUACCAGUAAUCAUGUUCUUAAUGAAAUCCCUGUGUCCAGGGGCAUCAAUGACAGUGCAGUAGUACUUAGUGGUCUCAAACUUCCACAGAGCAAUGUCAAUUGUGAUACCUCUUUCACGCUCAGCCUUGAGCUUGUCAAGAACCCAAGCAUACUUAAAUGAACGCUUGUUCAUCUCAGCAGCUUCUUUCUCAAACCUCUCAAUCACACGCUUGUCAAUACCUCCAAGCUUGUAGAUCAAGUGACCAGUGGUAGUUGACUUCCCAGAGUCGACAUGGCCAAUGACAACAAUGUUAAUGUGAACCUUUUCCUUACCCAUUGUCCUUAAAAGUUUAAAACCACAAAAAGUUCUGCAAAUUCAACAAAGAAAACAACAUAAGUAUAUACUUCAAAAGAAAGAAAAAGUAAGGAAAUUAACGGUAAACUAUCAAUUGAUCAAGACACAAGGAUAAAGACAUGUGUCUUAAAAUCACAAAUGAUCAGCCAUUCAGAGUUUCAAACAAUAAAUUAAUUUAUUAAAUAAGAGCAACAACAGCAACAUUCUGAUACAUACUUCAUGAUAUCCAGGUCAACAAUUCAAGUUUAAAGAGCAUAAUACAUUCAGUAAGAUAAUAUUCUAAACACAAACAUUCAUAAAGCAAUUCAAAAAGAACAUCUUCAUCACACACGCAUUUCUGUAUACAUCUUCAUCACAACAGAUAACAUUCAUACCAAAAUCAAAGCAAUGAAGAUUUCAGCAGAAUAAUCAAACAAAAUAACAACAUAUAAAAGAAACCCACGUUUGAAAAUACAAAACCCUUGGUCCUUCAAGUUAAAAUCACAAACGAUGAGCCAAAUCAACACAUGAAGACCAUACAUGAGUACAAAAUAAGAGCAACAACAAAAUUUCUAACGUUCAAGUUUGAAGGAGACUAAAUAGAAAACAGAAUUCAACAACAAAAUUAAAAUAAAAUAAGAGUAACAAGCAUAAACGAUGCUAAAAUAACAUUAUAUACAUGUAUAUUCAUAUAUGUAUCAAUCAGCACAAC
rnacentral:lncRNA from 1 species